AAUACAAUCUCCUACACGUAGGACGCCACGUCAAGAAAAUUAAACUACUUAGGCUCCAGGUCAUUUAUUAUGGACACAUAGCAAAAUAAAAUGGGAAAUAAUUAUUAACCUCCCCCCAAAACCAAUUCUUCAUCUGUUUUUCAUCUUUCAAGCUUAACCCAGCACCUUUCAUGACUUCUCCCACGAUGAGCAAUCAUACUCUCUUUUUUUCUUCCUACAAAUCCUAUAAAACCCAUUACAAAUUGCACAAAAUGAGAUCAUAAUUUUUCCCAAGCAUAAAACUCUUCUUGGGAGCUCGAACGCAGAUAAACUUACCCCUACCUUAGAAUUUGGUCUGGACCCAACCGAAUAAAUUAGAUAUGGCCGGAAAUAUAACUUUUCCGGGACCUUUGUUCUACCACAGUACUGGCCGGCGACUUUCGCUCUUUCUUUUAUGUUAUUAGACCCCAAAUAAACUUAGGCAAACUACCAGAUCUUGGCAAAAAAUUUGGCCGAAAUUUGAUUUCGCUUGAAUACUUGCUCUUCCUUCUAAUUAUGAUGUUUCUGUAUUACUUUGACAAUAGUUCACAUAUUUGUUCUUUGUGCAGAUCUGGGGAAUGAGAAAAAUUUCACUUUGGUUUGUA